CUCCGCGUCGUCGCGACGCUCCUUCUCUUUCUCUCUAUCUCGUUCCUCUCGGCUCUCUCGGUGGCGUCCGCAGCAUCCGCGUCGCGUUUCGUCGACUAUUCCAUCGAAAGAGACACUGUUGUUCAUUUUCCUACGAUAAAUACAAGCGAAACGAACUUAGGGGUUGAAAACGAUCGCAAUAUAUAAGCUGAUAUAAAACAAAUAAAAAUAAUAAUACAUUUUUAUCAUCAUCACUCGAAAGUGUUUCCUUCGAUCCACACAAGCAGAAAAGAAAAAUUUGCAAAAAUUUACAGCUUUAAGAAAAAGUUGCAAUAUCUCCGUCAGUAUAAAUUCACAGAAGAUUGAAAGAACUGUCCACUCAUAAAAAAUUUGUUUCUUUAGUUCUUCUUUUUCGUUGCAUAUUUUACAUUAAAGGAAACGCAAUUUGCAAUUUAUUACAUCGACGUGAAAAUUCUUUGUCUUAAACAAAAAGAGACGGAGGAGAACGAGAUUGAGUGAUGGUAGUACAUGAAUUUUCUACAGAGAAGUUAUUAGAGACGAAGAGACGACUUUUUUGUGUUAGAAUGGUGAAAAGAGAAGCCAAAUCGUGAAGUUUUACUAGACGUGAUCCAUCUUGGUGUUCCGAUGAAGUGAUCUAUCGAUUUUUGUCGCGGAAACGUACAUCAAGAUUCUUCGUCUCGAAAAGUCACGCACGAGCGUUUUUCACCCCUUGCCUUCCGGAGCGUCGCGCACUCACUCAAGCCUUAUCGGCACUCGUGGAUUUACUACUGCCGAAAACUCGUCGACUCAUCCGCACGCCCGUAUAUAUAGACGCGGUGGAUGCAAAGCACUGCGAUGCAUCGCGCGUUUAAAGGUACAUCAUCAGAGAUCGAAAUCACGCAUCGUUUUUCAGACGCGCCUGGACGACUCGUGAGUCACGAUUCAUCUUUCGAGUGCGUCAUCAGACGCGCUCAAACACUCGCAAUCGUGCAGAUCUUCGACGCUCUCGACGAUGAAGAAGCAGUGCUUAAAAAAACUGGUGGCCCAUCAGCGAGACAGAUCCUCGAAAACUCGCGAUCGACAGGGAUGAAAGGUCAUUCAGAAACGUUCAAAGUACGCGUGCCUCGAGCGGGACACGGGCGUCUCGUUUGGAGAUUCAGCACCGUAGUCACGUGGGGAAAUAAGCGGUUAACCGAUGACAAUGGAACACAAACAGACAAUCUUGCUGGCACCUUCACUAAGCAACAGCAGCUGUUGGCGAGGCGGCACGUCCGAAGCCGCUUGGACAGGUCCAGGUCCUGGAGAACUAAUACGAGCUACCCUGAUAUUGAUGCUAAGUCUUGGUAUUCUGUGCGCCAAUCUUCUGGUGAUAUGCGUUAUCAAUAGCAGACGAUAUAGCAAGUACAUACAUGCUCAGCCCAGAUAUCUGUUGACGAGCUUAGCAAGUAACGACCUUGCGAUUGGUCUUUUAGUGACGCCAUUCGGUUUCUUACCAGCUGUUUACGGAUGCUGGCCGUAUGGUGAAGUUGUCUGUCAAAUUCAGGUAAUUAUUACAAUAUACAUAUAUUAUGGCUAUAUUUUUUUAAUCAAAAAUUACUUUACUAAAUGCAAAUCGUGCUACCAUUUUUCUAUAUAUAGUCGACUAAAGUAGUUCCUUAUUUUAUUCCUUUAAUUAAAACUAAAAAAUAAAUAUCAUACACAUGAACGUGUUUGUUAAUAAUGUAUCGAUUAUGUAACGAUGCUGUAUUUUUAUAUCUAACGUAAAUAAAUGCUCCCUAGGCUAUAAUAUUGGAGAUUAUGAUAUCUUUUAUAACGUUAUACGCAUUAAAAAGCCGCUCAAUAACCUCGCAUAUCUCGAUAGUUUUCUUUGCCAGAAAUCGAGGAAUUUAUAGGAAAUCUUGGAAUAGUGUUCGCGAUGCUUGGCAGGAAAUUAUUAUCGUUUGAAACUCACAGCUGCGCUUCCGGCGCAGAAGGAGAGGGAGAGAGAGAGCCGGCACUUCUUCCGCUAUUUCCUCUACCAGUCGGUGGCUGCGACGUUAUCGGAGUUCCUGACGAUAAUCUUUACGCGUUGCACCUUUCCCUCCUACCUCUUCCUCGUUCUCUACGCCAUCUUCUGAGGUAACAGCCUGAUUUGUGACCGUAUAUUUCUUCAUUUCGCACGUGCUAAACUCCGAAGUGCGCCAUUCCACCGGUAGAUCCCGAAUUUCGUCGUAUUUGCUUAUCUAGCCGAAACGGGAAAUUGUCGUAACAUUCUCGGGAGGGAAAUUAGUAAACAGAAAAUUAUACGCAAAUUCGCCAUACGUACAUAAUUUAUAGCAGAUAUUUAAUGCAUUUUACUAAUUACGAUUUAAUAUAUGUUUAAAAAAAGAUUUAUCUUCUUUUUCAAUAGUAGAUGAGAACGUAGAGUGUAAGGUAUCCA